rnacentral:rRNA from 1 species
GACGGACGCUGGCGGCGUGCUUAACACAUGCAAGUCGAACGGAAAGGCCCCAGCUUGCUGGGGUACUCGAGUGGCGAACGGGUGAGUAACACGUGGGUGAUCUGCCCUGCACUCUGGGAUAAGCCUGGGAAACUGGGUCUAAUACCGGAUAGGACCGUGCUUUAGUGUGUGCGGUGGAAAGUUUUUCGGUGCAGGAUGAGCCCGCGGCCUAUCAGCUUGUUGGUGGGGUAAUGGCCUACCAAGGCGGCGACGGGUAGCCGGCCUGAGAGGGUGUACGGCCACAUUGGGACUGAGACACGGCCCAGACUCCUACGGGAGGCAGCAGUGGGGAAUAUUGCACAAUGGGCGCAAGCCUGAUGCAGCGACGCCGCGUGGGGGAUGACGGCCUUCGGGUUGUAAACCCCUUUCGGCAGGGACGAAGCUUUUGUGACGGUACCUGCAUAAGUAGCACCGGCUAACUACGUG